UCGUGGGCCGGCGCGUUGUCGCUGGCCGACUACCGCUCGGCCGUGUUGCCGCACAGCACAAGGAUUUUCGAUGAAUUCGCCCAUGAG
rnacentral:tRNA from 1 species